GAUAAGAAAACAAAUUAGUCUGUUUUUCCUUUUGCUGUGUAGAAAAUAGAACACAAGCUACUGACCUGAAAGAUAGCAAUGCUGGUUGUCCUGUUUCAUGUAGUCCCCAAACAGUUGAUGUAGGGAUAACUUUUUUCCUAAAAGGAAACCAGCUCCCUUCAGAAAGCAGACUGAGAGGCGUAUGAGGCUUGUUGUGGUUGGCCUCUCUCCCAAAAACUCUUAAAGCGUGUACUUAGGCUUCUUUCCAUGGAUAUUUACAGAGGGAUGGUUUUUCAGAUGUGUUAAAUUACACUAAUCAUUCUUCAUGUGUUCUUAAGCAAUCAUCUCCCACUCCCCAAAAUAGUCAUUUACUUUAACACAGCGUACAUCCUUGCAAUGGCCUUUGUCUUUCAAGCCAUUUAGACAUUUCAAGUAUAACAGCAACUUUUUAUCUUGUUAUUUUUAGGGGAUCCUAAAGGGAUUUUUGGAAAUCUGGUGACACCUCUGCUACAUUCAGAGUUGAGAGACCCUUGCCUGAUCCAGUGUGAUUCACCUGAACUUCCCCAAAAUCAGGUGAAACAAGGCCACAAAAGAAUGGUAUAUUACAGAUUUACAAACACAGAGAGACUUUUUCAAACUGAACUGUAGUUAACCUGGCUCUGUGAAGAAACUUCACCACGUCACGAUGGUGAGUUCAGUUUAGUUUCCAUCCACCUCCCCCCAACCCUUUGGCUUUCAUGGCAUUAUUGUCUUUAAUAUAUGUUUUACCGGACAUAUCACAUUAAAUCUUUAUUGCCCUCAAAUCCAUUUACCUAUCUCAGAUAAGUAAAUGUAACCUUGUAAAACAGCUAUUAUUGAAAAUAUUAGCUUUAAAAACAUUAUUUGUGUUUACAAAGAAAUAUAGGAGUCACAUUUUCCACAGAGUCCAUCUACAGUAUUAGUAUUUUACUGUUAUAAUGCUCAGUAGCCUGUAGCAGUAACAAACUAGUGGCUAUUAAUGCUAAUGCAGUGUUCUCAUAGAAUAACUGUGUUCCUGCACUUUUACUGUAUUACAGACAAAUCUACAACAAAAAAAAGAUCAACUUUUUUCUCCAAACAAAAAAAAAAAAUGAAUGAUUACAAUAAAGGAAAGGGAAAAAUUAAAUAGCUACAUAUCAUUAACAAAUUAAUUGUUCCUCAAAAAAUACCUACAAAUUUCUCUGUACAUUCUUUACGCACAGCGUAACGAUGGUCUUAAAGUUACCUAUAUAAAAAAGUGUUUUUUAACAAUCUUCCUACAGAGAGUAGGGUACUGAAUGCCAAAGCAAGGAAGCGUUGACUACCCAGUAAGAUGGAAGUGAAAUGUGUAAAACUGGGGGCUUAGGGGUUUUUUUGUUGUUUUUUUUUUUCCUUUUUUUAAAAAUUUUUUUCAAAGAAAAUUGAGCAGCCACCUCUCAACAAGUCAGAGCCAAUCUCCUGAUCUUUCUACCCUGCACCUCUUCCAAAUUAAAUAGCUUAACUUUAAAAAAAAACAAAAAACAAAAAAAAACAAAAAACCAAACAACACCAAACAUAAAAGCCACAAUGGACCCAAUACUGUAACACAGUCCAUAAUACAUCACGUGUAGUUCAUCUUCCAACUAGUUCUAACUUUUUACACUGAACCAAUCCUUUCAGGUAACCCAGUAUAAAAACGAAGGCCUAGUUGCAACUGUACUGGGAAGAUGGAAUGUAUGGGGAGAGAAGUUAUACGUAACGAGGAGAAGCGCUUCGUACUAGCACAGCUGUGGGGUUUAUGCCUGCCUCUAUUGCCUAAUUUCUAGUUAGUAGCUAUUAAUACAAUAAAUGCGGUAAUACCUGUAUAAAGUUUUCUAAUGGAGGAAUGUAUGCUGCAACUUGGCAUAGGUUUAUGAAUAAGCUUACAAAAAUUAAAGAUCAUAUUUCACAAACUGUAACAAUCUGUUGUCCAGCCAAGAUACGCAACGGUAGCAGUUUCUGCAGCUAAUUAAAGGUGGACUACACAGACUUAGUUGUAGGAAGCAAGUUCUGCUAAGCAGACAGGGCUGCAGACAGAAACAACGACUCAGCCGUGCGCAAAGCUAUAGCAUCCUGUACCACGCAUCAUCUACUUCUAACCUGCGUCGUUUGAGGCCUGUCCUGAGGCUGUCCUCUUUUGCUGGCUGCUACUAAAGUGAAUAUCAAAUACAAAUAUCAUAGAGUACAACUGUACCAGCAGUAAGUAUAUCUAGGAUUGUUACUGACAAAAAUAAACUAAUUCUGAAGAAAAGCUAAUAAGUAUUAUGAUUCUUACUGUCUAUACAUUAAUAGAUACCAGCUAUUUUUCAUAAAACAUGCAUCGUUAAGCACUAUUGAACCCUCCAACCUCAGCUCUAUUCUAACAAACUGCAGUGUUUAGGAAAAAAUGCCCGUGUUCUGUAAAUUAUGCAGUCCAGUUGCAAGCACUAAGCACCUGAAAUCUAAAGAGAGAAAGACCUAUAACCUGUAUGAGACUUCCCCUUCCAAAGCUGUUUUGCUUUAAGAAAAAUCAAACUGAUAGAAAUGUCAUCCUUAAACCUUUUUCUUUUCAGCAGUUUGCCCUCAAAAUAUUAGCAUCUUUCCAGAAAGUUGCUAUGCAACUUCAGUCCUCCUCCAAUAGUGCAAAUCAUACAUGACAGUUCUUUUCAAGUAUAUACAUACAAAAUUACUUCACAGAGGGAGAAAAAAAAAAAAAAAAAAAAAA